rnacentral:rRNA from 1 species
UGAGCAAUCUGCCCUUCUCUUUGGAAUAAGCGUUGGAAACGACGUCUAAUGCCGAAUACGACCUCCUUUCGCAUGAUCGGAGGUGGAAAGCUCCGGCGGAGAAGGAUGAGCUCGCGGCCUAUCAGCUAGUUGGUGUGGGUAAUGGCCCACCAAGGCGACGACGGGUAGCCGGCCUGAGAGGGUGACCCGGCCACACUGGGACUGAGACACGGCCCAGACCUCCGUACGGGGAGG